ensembl:lncRNA MSANTD2-AS1 MSANTD2 antisense RNA 1
GCCCUCGGGCCUGGCUCGCCCGCGGGCGGAUGGCUCCGGGUCUCUGCUGCUGAGGAUGUGGCUGCCGGGCGGAGGUCGUCCACUCCCCUGGGCCUUUCUCCGCGAGCCCUCCCACGCCGCCCGCUCCUCUCCCGGGGCGAAGGGCGGGGACGAGGCGCGCCGAAGCCCCGAGCUGAAGAGAAGGGUGGGGGCAUGAGGGCGCUGGAGUGAGGAACAGAUUGGAGCCUUCCCACUUCCUCUCCAAUCUCAGCCCCCGGGAGGAGGGGUGAGGCCCUCGAGGGGGCCCGGAGUUAAGGAGGAAUAGACCGUUUCUCUCUCUCCUGUCUCCCCCGCCUCUGCCCGUCUUCCCUCUAAGCCGGCCUCUAGGUGCAGAGGCUGACGUCCAGGAUGGGGACCGGGGAAGCCUCUGGAGGGUAUAUCCGGGAAGGCACCAAGGCUGAAGUGAGAGCGGUUCUGGGGAAGGCUUUAAAAAGCAGAUAUGGACCAGGAUGCAGUCUAGCACCUCAGUUAAGAAUAUGGACUCUAAAGUCAGACUGCCAGGCUUCAAAUUCCAGUUCUGCGACCUCAGCAAAGUUACUUAACCAAGCUCUCAGUGCCUUGUUUUCUUCAUCUGUAAAAUGAGGAUGACGUCACAGCAUUGUUGAGAGAAUUAAUACAGGCUCCAGACUUGUGAAUGGAGAAGUGUUGAGGUGACCCCAGCUCCAGCCACCAGCUGACGACAACCAUACCGGAGAUCCUGAGAGCUGCCUAGCUGACCCCAGGCACCCCCCAGACUUCAUGUAAGCUGUUUGAAGCCGAGGACUUUGUCUGUUUUGUUCACUCCCAAUAGAUUCAGCACUUAGAAGAAUGCCAGGCAGGCUUUCCCCACCAACCAAGAUGGAAUAACAGGGAAAAGACAUACCCUUCUAUCUUCAAUAAUUGGAAACCCAGACAAAGUUUAUGAAACGCUGGUUUUCAAGACAUAGGACAUCAGACAAUCAAGGACAGUAAACACUGAGAUGGGAAACAAACAAGGAAGCCAUGAAAACUUCAAAACUGCUUCACCACCUGGAGACCAAGCACCCUGCAUUAAAAGACAAGCCUUUGGAGUUUUUCUAAAGAAAAAACAUGAACACAGAGAACAGAAGUAAUUAUUGAAGGCCACUACUUCAUUAAGUGUGUCUGUACUGAGAGCAUCGUUCCUAGUGGCUAACCACGUUAUUAGGCUAAGAAGCCCUUUAGUAUUGGUGAAGAGUUGAUCCUGCCUGCUGCUAAGGACAUUUGUCAUGAACUUUUAGGAGAGGCUGCUGUUCAAAAGGUGGCACAUGUUCCUCUUUCAGCUAACACCAUAACUAGAAGAAUGGAUGAAAUAGCAGAGAAUAUUGAGGCACAAUUGUUAGAGAGGAUUAAUGAGUCACCGUGCUACACAAUCCACAAAAGGGUUUUGUCCCAGAAAUAGACUCAUACAUAUAUGAUCAGUGAUUUUCAACAGUGGUACAAAUGCAAGUCAGCGCAGAAAAAAUAAUCUCUUCAACAAAUGGUGCAGGAACAAUUGGAUAUCCAUAAAAUGAACUCGGAUCCACGCUUUGCACCAUAUGCAAAAAUUGACUCAAAAUAGGUAUAGGUCCUAGACCUAAAUGUAACAACCUGAAACUCUAAAAUUUCUCAGGAAAAAAAUGGGAUAAAAUCUUUGUGGUCUUGGAUUAGGCAAAGAUAUUUUCUUGUGUUUGUGGGUAAAGAAACCUUUAAUGAGGGUUCAAGGUGUAAGAGGAGGACCUUGUAGAGAGCCAGCGCUUAGCCCCAGCCUCCUCAUAUGCACAUGGCUCUGUAGAGGUUCUCCAGACAGUGCUGCUGCUGCUGUUUCGAGCCUUAUCUCCUCUGUGCUCCUCACAAGUGUCGUUAACAGCGGGCAGCUCCUGGCAGCACAAGGGACAGGGAUUUGUCUUGCUUAGCCGGGGCAAAAUGCAGUUAGAAUGGAAAAGCUAAUGGCAAGGCAUCCCAACAACAGCCUCCUCCUCCUCAAGCACAUGGGGCACUUGUGUGUGCCUCUCAGCCUGAGAGCUCCUGAUGACUGUCCUGGGGAGGUUCCCAACCACACUGUCUUGGCAGCUGGUGGAGGCAGGUGGUGAUUCCAAUUUACUGCCAUCCCCGAGUCUUCAAAAUCCAUCCUAUUGAAAAGUGAUCUGGUGAGCUCCAGCAGCAUGUGGGUUAGGGUCUCCUGCUUGGGGUUCAAGAGCUUGCAGUCCUGUUCAUUGAAAUAGGCUGUCAUGGCUGCUCAGCUCUCUGACAUAUCUCUCAGACUGGCAAAGAUAUUAGGUCUGAUACCAAAAGUACAAUCCAUAGAAGAAAAAGGAUGGAUACAUUGGACUUCAUUAAAAUUAAGAAUGUUUUCUCCUUGAAAAAUAAUGUUAAGAGAAUAAGAAGAUAAGCCACAAACUUGGAAAAAAAGUAAUUGUAAAUUACAUAUCUGAUAAAGUACUUGUACCCAAAAUAUGCACAAGAAUCUCAAAACUCAAUAAUAAGAAAACAAUCCAAUUUAAGAAAUUAUUUUAACAUACAUUUUACAAAAGAGGAUAUAUAGAUAGCAAAUAAGCCCACAAAAAGAUAUUGAAUAUUAUUGACCAUUGGGAAAAUGCAAAUUAAAACAAAAUGAGAUACCAUUACACACCUAUUAGAAUGUCUAAUAUUGAGAAGACUAAUCAUACUAACUGAUGAGGAUUUGGAGCAACUGGAACUCUCAAACCCUGCUGAUAGAUAAAUGCACAACCACUUUGGAACAGUUUGGUAGUUUUUUAAAAAGUUAAACAUACAUCUGCCUUAUGCCCCAGCCAUACAAUUUUUAGACAUUUCUCAAGGAAAAUGAAAGCAUAUGUUCAUUCAGAGAUACACAUGCAUAUUCAUUGCAGCUUUAUUUGUAACAGCCAAAAACUGGAAACAGCCCAAAUGUCCAGCAACAAAAGAAUGGAUAAACAAAUUGUGGUAUAUUUACUACCUAGCAGUUGAAAGAAAUAAACCUCUGACACACACAAGCUGGAUUAAAAAAGAAGAGGAAAUGAAUUAUUGAUACAUAUAAUAAAGAUUACUCUCAAAAUAAUUAUGGUAAGUCAAAGAAGUCAGACCAUGCUCCCUAAGAGUAUAUACUUCAUGAUUCAAUUUCUGUACAAUUCUAUAAAAUGCAAAUUAAUAUAUGAUAACAAAAAGUGAUUGCCUGGAAAUGGUGAGAGGACAGAGGGGCCAGAAUCAGCCAGGAUUACAAAGAUGCACAAGGAAACUUUUGAGGGUGGUGGAUAUCUUGAGUGUGGUGAUAGUUUUACAGUUGUAUGCCUAUGUUAGAAGCUAUCAAAUUGUACACUUUAAGUAUGUACACUUUGUUGUAUAUUAAUUAUGCCUUAAUAAAGUUAUUAUAAAAAGUAGUUCCAGGCAAUACUAGACACUCAAUAAACAUUUGUAAACUAGUCGUUGACUUUCUUGGACUGUGACUUGUUAGCAGUUAGGGAUUGAUUAUUCUGUACAUGUUU